AUCUGUUACUGCUGUUGCUGCUAUUCCUAGUGGUAAACCGCUCAGUUCUGAGGAAAGUCGCUGAUCAGCAAACUGUGUCUAUUCCAUGGCUGGAGAGUGAAGCUUUUAAAACAGAAAAUCAGCAAGAAAGCCCUCUGUGUCCCGCUUAAAAGGACAAAGCGAUGCUGAGGCCUCAGCUCCACCAGAGCAGCCAACGCUGGCCAUAGCCUUGGCAGCUGGGGAUUGGGAGCUCUGCUGCAGCCUCUGCGAGCCCAGGAGACCUGAGAGAAACGUGGGCUCUUCCUCAGGAAAGCAGGAGCUGCCACACGCCUCGAAGCUUGGUAAGCACAAUUUACCAACGCUUACGAAUUCUAGAUGGGAAUCUGUCCCUGGCAUUACCUUAGGCUAGUCUUUUAAAGAGGAAUCACCUAAGUGAGUCAGACACCUGCCUAGGUAAUUGCUAUAGCAAUUGGAAAAC
rnacentral:lncRNA from 1 species